UGAGCCAGGGCUCCCCAGGGGUUUGCAAGUGAACGAGUGAAGGCGUGCACGCACGACUUGGCUCCUACUCCCUGUCCUCAGCGGAGGGGACAACACAGCAACUCACUCUCCCUCCCGCUUCCAGGACAUCUUAAUGGGGCAUAAGGAAGGGCAGAGGGGGUCCAUGAGUGUCUGGAAGAUAUUAUGGGUGUCUGAAUUUUUCUGGGGAGACAAUCUAUAACUUUACAUGUUCCCAGAGGUUUGUUGACCGCAAAGAGAUGAAAAGCCAGGGCAAAACUCUGACGCCCCUGUGUGAUGAUAGGACUUUUUCUGGCACCUUCUGCAAACCUUUUGUAGGCUGCAGCGACCACAGGAGGCAGGGUUUCCAUCCCCAGGACAAACGCUGUCACCCACGGAGGUUGCCUGCAUGGAUCCCACAUCCCACACAGCUGAAAAGACAUUCAGAGGGAAAGGGCUUUUCAUGGCGACAAGACCUGGAAACACAAACGCUGCUGCCCGCGGGGACAGAUAAGAAACUGAUGCCUAAAGAAGUGAAGUGAUUUGCCAAAAACCCAGGAUGACCUGACCCCAAUGUGGAACCUCCAAUGUUGGUGUCCCAUGCAUUCAUGCACGUGACUGGGACUUGGUGACCAGCUGAGAUCAGCUGCAAAGGGGGCACCAGUUACAGUCUCUUUAAUCAGAGACACUCAACCCACAUUUAUUAACUCUGUUCUUAUUUAAAAGCCUUCUAAAAUCCAGUUAUACUAUGUCCACAGUAUUUCCAAAUAACCCCCUUUA